rnacentral:rRNA from 1 species
AUACGUAGGGGGCAAGCGUUGUCCGGAAUUACUGGGCGUAAAGGGUGUGUAGGUGGUUUGUUAAGUUGGAAGUGUAAUACCUAGGGCUCAACUCAGGUGCUGCUUCCGAUACUGGCAGACUAGAGUGCGGGAGAGAGUAAUGGAAUUCCUAGUGUAGCGGUGGAAUGCGUAGAUAUUAGGAGGAACACCAGCGGCGAAGGCGAUUACUUGGACCGUAACUGACACUGAAACACGAAAGCGUGGGGAGC